CUUCACUUGUCAAAGACUCAAUUUUUUAUUUCCUGGAGUCUUCUUAAACGACCACUUCUCAGAACAGAUUCAAGAACCACAUAUUCAAGAAUCUCACCACUUUGGGAUUUGAGUGAAAUCGCCUGUAAGCAAGAACGACAGGAAGGAGGUAAGUGAUCUUGCUCUAGUGCAGAGGCAAAGGUGAGGCUUUAGGAGCGACAUUUAACCAGGCACUUGCAGUCCAUACACAGUGUGGUAACAGAGGAGAGCUGAUGCUGAAGAACAGGAAGCUUUCUCAAUCCCCAGCACUGCUGGAGAAACGACACCCAGAUAUGCUCCGAUACAACUUCCUCGUACAGGUCUAAAGUCUAGAAUCAGACGUUUUGAUAGGAAUCUAAAAUAUAACAGUUAUUGUAUUUCUGCUCAGUGCUGUGCCAAGAAGCAGGUUCAAGAGUUCAAGAAAUAGCUUAAUACAACUGGAGAGAUUUUGGGGGGAGCACUUCCUGGUAGCAAGAAUUAAACACCGAAAAAUUAAGGAGCUGGACCUUCAGCAGGUUUGCCCCAUCUGCUUGUUGCGAUUUGGGUGUGGUGUUACAUAGGCUUCGGGAGAGGGCAAAGGUGUGUGGGGAACAUGAAGGCUAGGUAUUUCUUUAUGUUUUUAAGUCCUUGCUGCAAUCCACCUGGGUUCCUCAAGGCAGAGCACGG